rfam:Gossypium raimondii Chr12_contig_15, whole genome shotgun sequence.
UGUUAAAAGAUUCAUUCAUUUGUAUCGUUAAAAACUGAUGCGAUUGACAAAAUAACUAGACAAUGACACGUGACAUGCCAUAUAUACAUCAUGUUGACAUAUAGAGAUCAAUAUUUAACUGUAGAAAUAGAUGAAAGUUUUAAUA